AUGGCAUCCUCGGCAACAUCUGGCCGUGUCCUUGCGAUCAUGCUGCUCAUGGCCAUUAUCGCCGCUCUGAUGAUCAUCAACAGUCCCGUCGCAGAAUGUAGUAAGUACCCAGCUGGUGGGUUGCUCCGGAUCAGGUUGGGGUGGAUCCGAAUGGCCAUUGCUAUUUCGAUCCUUCUAGUUGUCGUUCGCCGGGUGCUCCCUGAGAGUGUGCCUGCCAUGUCACGUUCCCACGAGGAUGAAUACUUUCCUCUGUUCCAAAUAUAUUAUAUUAUUAAUUAUAAAAAUCUGAAUAAACACUUGAUAUAUUUAUAGUUAGAGGUGC
rnacentral:lncRNA from 1 species